AUUAACAUGUCUGUACAAAUCACUGGCAAAAUACUCAUGUAAGAGAAAGAAAAAAAACCACACAUUAAAAACAACAGUUCCUAAUGUUAGCUCUGCUCGAAAUUAUUAAGAGCAGCCAGCACGACAGAGAGGACUGGUGGUGCAGAUGCUUCUCAGCCUUAGUGCAGCCAAUGGACUGCAGAUUUCCCAGCUCUCUCAGUACUUCAGCUGCUUUCAGCAACUUCACAUUCACAUUCCAGUAAUGGGAGACAGUUAAUUCGGUCCGUUGCGCUGCUUUGAAAAUUUCCACCCUUGACUUGCAAACAAACAAAAACACCAACCUUUAAGCUAAUGUCUUUCCCUGUGUGAAUAUAAUAACUUCUCCCGGUGACAGAAAUUCUGCUGUGAGUAGUGGCAAGCUUUGCUUUGUUGAAGCCUCCUGCAAACCCACAUUGUUUGAAGUCAUUACACACAGAGGAGCUGAAGCCUGGUGUUGGACUUACUAAUUCCCCCCAGAUGUAGAGAAACCACGAGGUAUUUCUGCCCCAGCCAAACCCAGGAGAUCCCUCGGCAUCAUAAGCUUGCUCUCGGCCCAGCAGUGUGUCCUGGCUGUUGUGCAACACUGCUCUCUAUGUGACACCUGUAGCGAGUGGAGUGAGUUGCUAUCACUGGGUACUUUGUAAAGCUCUGUGGGAUGCCCGAGGUUGCCAGUGGCUGUACACAAGCAAGAGCUUAAUGUUGCUGGAACACCGCCUGCAAACGAUGGUUGCUAGGAGGAGUUUCACCGGGAUGAGAAACAUAUUGCAAAACUACUUAAAACAGUAUUUUCAGCACCUCCAGAAACUCCCUGAUGGGAUUUCAAAGUCUUUGCUCACUACAGAGAUAUUUACACCCACUCCAGUCCUCCAGAGAAGAAUCAUUUCCUCAGGUUUUGACUGUGCUCAAUAAAAAGAGUACAUGUCUUUUGUUAGUGAAAAAAAAAACAAAAAACAUCGCAAUUUCCCCAGACAAGAAGAGAGUUGCUGUGAUCCUCACCUACUGAACGCUGAUGUGGCUCUAAGCAAUGUCAUAUAGCUUAUCCACCACCAGGGAGCAUUCCCCUCAUCUGUGAAAAAAAAACAUGGUUAAUUUUUUCUUCUCCAACCAAAAACUGGUCAAGGACAACUACUUAGAAAAGCACCAAAAUGCAAUUCCUUCUCUCAAUAAAACCUUCCAAGCUACAAAUAUUUGCCCCCCUAAGAUGACUGAAGUUGUGGGGUCCUCAAAAAUUGAAUCUGCACUGCGUGGGUGGGGAAUUGAACCACAAAACUCAGCUCACCUGUGUGGGACUGAGAGCCACAGGUGUUACAAACUCCUUGCACAGUUCCCAGCCCCCUGCAGUCAUCGCUUCUGUAUGUUGCCAUGGGCUGCUCUGAAGCUCCUGUCCUUCACCUGGGGUUUGGCCAGGUGUGACAAUCAGCCAGCAGAGCCGUUAUCUUGCUAAAUCAAUAAAGUGACAAACUUCAAACAGGCCAUUAUAAAUAUUAGCAGAUCAUUGAGAAUUUUUAUGGAUGAGAACAAGGAAAGUUAAUUUUUAGUGAUCUCAGAUCCAAGGAAUCCACUUCUGGAGACAUCUAAUGUCUCAGUGACAGAAGACACAAACCUCUGCCUCUAACAGUCCAGUAUCAUGAUCCAUAUUCCUAACAGAUGAUGGAUGGAGAUGUUGCAAGCUCUUCUGGGGCUCUGGAUGCUGAGCAAAGCCUGUUGUCCUCCAAACCAAACUGCUGCCAGCCAAAGAAAAGUUAUAAGUGGCAAAGCAAAAGCUACUAAAUAAGAAUUU
ensembl:lncRNA